rnacentral:rRNA from 1 species
UGCGGUACUCUGACCGUGCAAAGGUAGCAUAAUCAUUUGCCUUAUAAUUGAGGGCUAGUAUGAAUGGUUUGACAAGAAUAAAGCUGUCUCUUUGCAGUUAAGUAGAAUUUUAUUUAUAGGUGAAGAAGCCUAUAUUUAAUUAAAAGACAAGAAGACCCUAUCGAGCUUUAAUAUAGUAAGUAGAAAAAGCCUAUAUCCCUAUAAGGCUUACUGUUAGAAAUUUUAGUUGGGGCGACUGAGGAACAAAAAAAGCUUCCUUUAAAAGUAUUUUAAUAAAAACACACAUGUAUUGAUCCAGAAUAGUCUGAUUAACGAAAUUAGUUACCGUAGGGAUAACAGCAUUAUCUUUUUUAAGAGUUCUUAUCGAAAAAAAGGUUUGUGACCUCGAUGUUGGACCAGAAUAUCCUAAAGAUGCAGCAGUCUUUAAGGGUUGGUCUGUUCGACCAUUAAAAUUCUACGUGAA